AGCGAUUCUUCUGCCUCAGCCUCUUGAGUAGCUGGGAUUACAGACCUUAAACAGAUUCAGAGACCGUGGGGCCAACAAACUGAACUGGAGUAACAUGUGAAUUGAGUAGACAUGUAGACAAGAAAGUCUCCACUAUCCCCUUUCUACUCUUGCUGAAAUGCUCACUAAUGUGCAAGUAACACCUGCUGCUACUCCUGCCAUUCAGGACCUAAAUCUGUAGCUCCAUAUUUUGAAUCCAGAUCUUGAGAUUUGGGAAAUAAAAAACUUUUAUCUAAAAAGUGCAAGCACUUUUGGUUAUCAAACUCAGAGAGAUGUUAAAAUGAAAGAGCAGUUAACAUCUUUCUCUCCCCUUUGAACUAUGUAUUCAUCCCUUGAAACUGUUCACUAUUGCCACAAGUAGCUAUAAAGUAAAUUAACAAUGCCACAUUGGAUACUAUAUUCUAUACCCUAAACAAUAAUGAUAUAUAUCUAAUCAAUAAUCAAUAUUAUUUAUCUAAAUAAAUAAAAACUUCUGACAAACAACUUUGUAUCAGACCACUCUAUGUCCCUCUCUUGUCUUUACAAAUCUUGUAACUGCUGCUAAUCAAAGUGUAGAUUUCAGGCAACUUGAAUCUUUGCUCCCUGGUUAUAAUCCUUAAGCUUAAACCAAAUAAACUGUCUACUUAUAUUCUUGA